CAGAUCGAGCGGUUUGUUUGUAUUUCACGAAAUUAUGGCCGUCAUCACCAAGUUUUGUUUCUCGUGUUCUGUAAGACUCGGCUCGAUAAUUACAGGGUGUUUAACACUGAUUCAAGCUUGUGCGUUUCUGGCAAUCACACUGAACUCAACUUUGGAAGAAAUCUCCGAUGUUUUGAAUCAAUGGUUGAGCGAAAUUCGCUUAGAGGAAGGAGUUUUUAAGGAAAUUGCUAAUAAUCCCAUACUAAUUGUCACAAUAAGCUCGAUGUUUUUCUCAUGUUUGGUUUGUAGUUCGGUUUUGUUGAUUUAUGCCAGUUUUCAGACUCGUCCGCUUCUUAUGUACCCUUUCACAAUUUUUUAUUUUUUGUACAUUUUGGUUUUAUUUGGGGCACUUUUGUUAGUUUUACAGUUUACUAAAAUAAGGGGGAAUGGUUUAGGCGAACUGAUCUUAUACUCAAACCUGGGUGGAUUUAUCUUGUUGUUUUAUUUGUACACUUGGUUUGGUGUAGUAAGCUUGAUACAAGUAAUAAACGAGCUUCAAGUUCGAUUGAAACGCAAAUUACGAGUGGUCGAAUCGAUGAAGAAAAAGAAGAAUAAUACGAGAGGUGUUUACAAUUAUGCUCAUUUUAAUUAAUUAGUGUUUUAUUUAACAACACAUCUAGCUACACAAGUCCAACAAAAAGUCAAAUUACUCCAUUUCCAAUAAUUGAUAGGUCUUGUAAAUGCCAGGCUUCGUUGCUUGUCUAUCGCUGUCAAAAGAAAAAUAUCUGGAAAAGAAACAUCGCAACACAUUGAUAAACAUUGAAGGACUUUAUUACGGAUGUAUUUUUGCGUCCAUUUGGCCUUUGAGUAGUCGCAAACAGUUGGUCCUAUUGAAAGAAUUAAUUAAAUUAAUUUCGUUGAUUAUUUUCUUACUUGAGACAACUCCGGGCUGCUCGACCGAAAGCCCCGCCCGGAAUCAAACCAUUGAGAGGUCCCCUUCGAUGUUUUUCUGUUUUAGUAUCAUAUUUACUGGAAAAAAAUAUUAAAAUAAAAUUUAUAGUGA